GAGGAAAGUCCGAACUCCCGAAAGACCACACUUGCUGGAUAACGUCCAGUGCGCGCGAGCGUGAGGAUAGUGCCACAGAAAAAUACCGCCCCCUUUUUUUAGUGUUGCCAAAGGCACGGCGUAGCCGUCCAGUAAACAGUGAUCAGUAACGAAAGUAAAUUCACUGAUAACUAAUAACUUUUCACUGAUAACUUUCCACUGAUAACUGAUAACUGAUAACUGAUUGGGGGUAAGGGUGCAAAGGUGCGGUAAGAGCGCACCAGCAGUAUUGAGAGGUACUGGCUCGGUAAACCCCGGUGGGGAGCAAGGUGGAGGGACAAAGGUUGGUCUUUUUCCUGUCCCGUUCUUAGGAACCGCUUGAGAUAAUUGGUAACAAUUAUCCCAGAUAGAUAACCUCUAUUCCAACAAAGGUAAAAGCAAUUUUACUGCUGUUGGGAAAUACAGAAUUCGGCUUA
rnacentral:RNase_P_RNA from 1 species